CAGUCGCGUGCGCGGGAGCGCAUGAGGAAAGUCCGGGCUCCAGAGGGCAAGGACGCCGGAUAACGUCCGGUGAAGGCGACUUUAAGGAAAGUGCAACAGAAACACACCGCCGAAACGGGUAAGGCCGUGGCAAGGUUGAAAUGGUGAGGCAAGAGCUCACCGGCGGCAUGGUAACAUGCCGGCCGUGCAAACCCCGUCCGGAGCAAGGCCAAGCAGGGCAUCGUCAUCCUCGGAUGACAGCGGCGGCCCGUCGCUGCCCGGUAUGGUAGGCCGCACGAGCCUGUCGGCGACGGCAGGCCAAGAUAGAUGAUUGCCGCCCGCUUGCGGGGCCGCGCGAAAGCGCGUUUCGCGGAGCGGGACACAGAACCCGGCUUAUGGCUUGCUCAUCUU
rnacentral:RNase_P_RNA from 1 species